UCUCAUGGAUGAGCAAAGAAAAUAGUUUCUUUAGAGGGAAACUACUCCUAGUGAAGAUGCUGUGAA
rnacentral:pre_miRNA from 1 species